rnacentral:rRNA from 1 species
AGUGAACGCUGGCGGUAGGCCUAACACAUGCAAGUCGAACGGCAGCACAGUAAGAGCUUGCUCUUACGGGUGGCGAGUGGCGGACGGGUGAGGAAUACAUCGGACUCUACUUUUUCGUGGGGGAUAACGUAGGGAAACUUACGCUAAUACCGCAUACGACCUACGGGUGAAAGCAGGGGAUCUUCGCACCUUGCGCGAUUGCAUGAGCCGAUGCCGGAUUAGCUAGUUGGCGGGGUAAAGGCCCACCAAGGCGACGCUCCGUAGCUGGUCUGAGAGGAUGAUCAGCCACACGGGAACUGAGAAACGGUCCAGACUCCUACGGGAGGCAGCAGUGGGGAAUAUUGGACAAUGGGCGCAAGCCUGCUCCAGCCAUACCGCGUGGGUGAAGAAGGCCUUCGGGUUGUAAAGCCCUUUUGUUGGGAAAGAAAAGCAGCAGGUUAAUACCCCGCUGUUCUGACGGUACCCAAAGAAUAAGCACCGGCUAACUUCGUG